CAUGCCUAUUUUAUGAUUUUGAUACUUCUAAAAUUUGCAGAUUAUCUGGAAACAGCAGAAAGUUUGUGGAAUUAACAGUAGAAUGUUAUUUCAUUUAUCAUAGAUGAAUUUGGAGUAGAAGUUUUACUGAUAAGAAUAAUUCCUAAAAAUACCUUUUAUUUUACAUUUUAAAUAAAUUUAUCAUACAGAGUAUUAUCAUUGGAAAUAAAGAUUUUAAAGUAUCUGAGUACACAGCAAUUUAGGGAUUGAACCCCCAGGGGUGCUUAACCACAUCCCCAGUCAUUUUAUAUUUUAUUUAAAGACAGGAUCUUGCUAAGGCUGGCUUUGAACUUGUGAUCCUCCUGCGUCAGCCUCUUAAGCCGCUGGGAUUACAGGUGUGUACCAUUGUGCCCAGCUGCAAUUCUUAAAAUGUUUGUCAUUUAUCAGACAGAUAUUUAAAUGUCUUGCUUGUUGCCAGACAUGGUAGCAGAGGCCUGUAAUCCCAGCAACUUGAGAGACUGAGGCAGGAGUAUCUCAAAUUUGAGACCACCGUAGGCAACUUAAUACGAUCCUGUCUCAAAAUAAAUAAAAAUAAAAAGGGCUGGGGAUGUAGCCCAGUGGUAGAAUGCCUGUGGGUUUAAUUCCCAAUACUAAAAAUAAAUGGAAUGAAACAAAACAGAAUAAAGUAAAGUAAUGUAGUAGUU
rnacentral:lncRNA from 1 species